rnacentral:rRNA from 1 species
CACGUAGGAGGCAAACGUUAUCCGGAUUCACUGGGCGUAAAGCGCGUGUAGGUGGUUCUGUAAGUAGGGCGUGAAAGCUCCCGGCUCAACUGGGAGAGGCCGUACUAAACUGCAGAGCUAGAGGAUGGUAGAGGGAGGUGGAAUUCCAGGUGUAGUGGUGAAAUGCGCAGAUAUCUGGAGGAACACCAGUGGCGAAGGCGGCCUCCUGGACCAUUCCUGAUACUCAGACGCGAAAGCUAGGGUAGCAAACGGAUUAGAUACCCUGGUA